rfam:Gossypium arboreum cultivar AKA8401 contig_38270_1, whole genome shotgun sequence.
AACCAAUGGUGAGGGCAUUGCCCCAAUAAGUUCCUAUACCUUUCCCAUGCAUCAUAUAAGGUUUCUAAGUCAAUCUGAACAAAGGAAAAGAUAUCAUUCCUCAACUU